rnacentral:rRNA from 1 species
GUCUAUGGCCAUGCUACCCUGAACAAGCCUGAUCCCAUCUGAUCUCAGAAGCUAAACAGGGUCGAGCCUGGUUAGUAUUUGCAUGGGAGACCACCUAGGAAGACCAGGUGCUGUAUGUG